GCCCAGGUAGCUCAGUCGGUAGAGCAGCGGACUGAAAAUCCGCGUGUCGGCGGUUCAACUCCGUCCCUGGGCACCA
rnacentral:tRNA from 1 species